GAAGGCAACUAAUUGUGGAAGGUAGAAUAGAAAUUAUAAUAACAAAAUCUUAAUUUUAAUAGAAUAUUAAAUAAACUCUAAUUAAAUCUUAAUAAUAUUAAAUAAGUUUUAAUCAAAUUCAAAAGAAAUCUUAAAGAAAUUACAAAAGAAACAAUAAUAAAUCUUAAAGGAGUUGAAAGAUAAUCUACAAUAAACUUUAAAAGAAUCCUUAAGAAGUCCUAAAAAAUAUUAAAAUAAUCACAAUAUAUCUUAAAUAAAUCUCAAUCAAAUUUUAAUUUAAUCCUAAUUUAAAUUAUAAUGAACUUCAAUCAAAUCCUAAAAAAACUCUAAAUUUUAAAUCAAAUCUUAGAUAAACUCUAAAUCCUAAAUCCAAUCAUAAUCAAAUCUUAGUCAAAUUCUAAAUCUUAAAUAAAUCCUGAAUAAAUCCUAAAAUCUAAACCAAAUACUAAACAAAUCUUAAAUCCUAAAUCAAAUCUUAACCAAAUCCUAAAUCCUAAAUCAAAUCUUAAAUCAAAUCCUAAAUCAAAUCCUAUUCAAAUUCUAAAUCUUAAAUCAAACCUUGAUCAAAUCCUAAAAUCUAAAUCAAAUCUUAACCAAAUCCUAACCAAACCCUAAAUUCUAAAUCAAAUCUUAACCAAAUCCUAACCAAGUCCUAAAUCCUAAAUUAAAUCUUGACCAAAUUCUAAAAUCUUAUCCAAAUCUUAAUAAAAUCUUAACCAAAUUCUAACCAAAUCUUAAAUUUUUAAUCAAAUCUUAACCAAAUCCUAAUCAAAUUCUAAGAUAGUUUAGAAUCUUAAUAUUUUUUGAUUAAUCUAUUCAUCUUAUUUAAAAUUUUAUACACCUCUCAAUCUCUUAAUUACAAACAAGUACAAUAAAUUUGAAGACAAUUGCAUUUACCAAAUGGAAG
rnacentral:lncRNA from 1 species